UGGUGAAUAUUGGACAAUGGAGGAAACUCUGAUCCAGCAAUCCUGUGUGUGGGAAGAAGGUUUUAGGACUGUAAAACACUUUUAGUAGGGAAGAAAAAAAUGACGGUACCUACAGAAGAAGCAACGGCUAAAUACGUGCCAGCAGCCGCGGUAAUACGUAUGUUGCGAGCGUUAUCCGGAAUUAUUGGGCUUAAAGGGCAUCUAGGCGGUAAGACAAGUUGAAGGUGAAAACCUGUGGCUCAACCAUAGGCUUGCCUACAAAACUGUUGAACUAGAGUACUGGAAAGGUGGGUGGAACUACACGAGUAGAGGUGAAAUUCGUAGAUAUGUGUAGGAAUGCCGAUGAUGAAGAUAACUCACUGGACAGAAACUGACGCUGAAGUGCGAAAGCUAGGGGAGCAAACAGG
rnacentral:rRNA from 1 species